AGCAGCCGCGGUAAUUCCAGCUCCAAUAGCGUAUAUUAAAGUUGUUGCAGUUAAAAAGCUCGUAGUUGAAUUUCGGGAUUGACGUAAUGGUCAUGCCUUAAGGGGUAUGAACUGUUACAGUUGAUUUCUCACCUUCUGGAGAAACUUGAUGUCCUUUAUUGGGUGUCUUGCGGAUCCAGGACCUUUACCUUGAAAAAAUUAGAGUGUUUAAAGCAGGCAUUUUUGCUCGAAUACAUUAGCAUGGAAUAAUAGAAUAGGACGGCAUGGUUCUAUUUUGUUGGUUUCUAGGAUCACCGUAAUGAUUAAUAGGGAUAGUUGGGGGCAUUAGUAUUCAAUUGUCAGAGGUGAAAUUCUUGGAUUUAUUGAAGACUAACUACUGCGAAAGCAUUUGCCAAGGAUGUUUUCUAUUAAUCAAGAACGAAAGUUAGGGGAGUCGAAGACGAUCAGAUACCGUCGUAGUCUUAACCAUAAACUAUGCCGACUAGGAAUCAGACGAUGUUUAAUUUUUAAUUAGUACUCG
rnacentral:rRNA from 1 species